UACGAAGGGUGCAAGCGUUACUCGGAAUUACUGGGCGUAAAGCGCACGUAGGCGGCUUUGUAAGUUAGAGGUGAAAGCCCAGGGCUUAACCCUGGAAUUGCCUUUAAGACUGCAUCGCUAGAAUCGUGGAGAGGUAAGUGGAAUUCCGAGUGUAGAGGUGAAAUUCGUAGAUAUUCGGAAGAACACCAGUGGCGAAGGCGACUUACUGGACACGUAUUGACGCUGAGGUGCGAAAGCGUGGGGAGCAAACAGG
rnacentral:rRNA from 1 species